GGAGAGUUCGGGCGGAAUGGUCUGCCAGCGGUCUCGAAAACCGUCGCUCCUCACAGGAUGGAGGUUCGAUUCCUCAGCUCUCCGCCA
rnacentral:tRNA from 1 species